CGUCCCGGGGGCGUGGUCACGGCGGCGGCGCGCAAGGAGGAGGAGCCUGACCUGGGCCGGCGGGGCUUCGGUCGCGGGUCUGACUAUGUCUGCUCGGCUGGAGCUGGAUCCGCGGUCAGCCGAGGCCGGUAGGCCGCACCCUGCGCCUCCGCCGUGACCCGACCCUCUGCGCGGGUGACUUAGGGCUCGUCUCGCGAGGCUGUCCUCAUGGGUGUGAAGUGGCCCUGAUUUGCAUCUCCCUAAUGACUGAGACACUGAUUUAUGGAUUUUUCCAGAGGCCCAUUUACUCAAGCAGAGCCAACUGUUGAGACACAGCACCUGUCACUGAAGGGUGGGGGUCUGUUGGCCCGGGUGGCCUGGGCUGGCCGGCAUUUCCCGCCCCCAGGCAGGGGCCUGUCCUGAGCAGGCUUGCCUCUGGCGGACUCAUGCUCUCAAGCUCCCGCUGCACCUACCUACCGUCAAUCAUCACGUGGUAAGAACUGACUCAGUCACGCCUGCAGCGAAGAUGAGGCCCUGUGCUCCAGGAGCUGACCGAUGCCCGGACAAGCAGAAAUAGACACACGGGCAGGUGCAGACCUCCCCUGGUGCUUCUGGAAGCCUGGGCGAGAUCUAGCUGCAAGGGCUCCCGAAGCUUCUUUGCCCCAUCUGGACCUGGAAACGGGCUGAUUUUUUAAAACCAAGAUUCUUGGCAUAUUUGGACACAAUGAAUACUGUGCCUUUCAUAUUUUCUUUGUAUUUCUCCAUAGUUGCUUGACCCAACAUCUGUCUGCUCUAUACAAUGAAAAUACAAACUAAAUGAGAAUAGAAAAAAAUAAUUAAAGCAUUAAAUUGUACAAAUUACAAAUCUGUUCCAAAAUAUACUUACAUUAAAUAAAAUACGCAUUUCAGUUAAGAGAUCUACAGUGAAUGACUCUGCAUUCUGGGAAGCUUCACGACACCUAGGCAGGGCCGACAUUCGUGGGAGGAGCUAAGAGACUUCGCACCAAUCACAGUCUGUUUGUAGCGGGUUUCUGACGGCCAAUCUGCGGGCUACACUGAGCGUCAGCAUCACCUGCGCGGGACUGACGGGGGAGGGGAGAAGCAGCUCUAGCCUCGACGCUGAGUUCAUUCUCAUCAACAGCCUAUACAGUACAGUUUCAAAAAAGUAAACAUGUUAAGGGAAGCAGACAACUCUUUAGAACCCCAGACACAUUUUCUGGCUGUAUUUAUGUGGAACUCUCCGGCUACAAUGGGCGGUCGUAAAGAGGUUCUUCCUCAGGACAACACGGUCACAGGACCCGGACGAGCCGGCGGGACUGAGGGGAGCCGAGGAUCGGGGAGAGGCUCCUCUGGUUGCGGGUGGAGCCCAUCUUUUCACGCACAGUCCGCGGCCCUGCAGUCCUCUCCCCGUAUCAUCUGGCGUAGCGCUUAAUGUAGUCCUCCACUUUAUUCCGGAAGUCCUCCUGCGGGGCGGGGAUCAGGGCCAUGAGUCAUGGGGGAGCGACUCUCUGGGAACAACUGAGGCUCCCCCGAGCCAAGGGCCCCCGUGAACUCUGGGGAGUGUGUGGAAGGCCCAGCCUCAUCCCCAGUAGCCAAGGGGCAGGGUGCGCAGAGACCCACGGGCAGAGUGCUGCCUCCCUGCCACUCGGGGUGCCGGGGUGGGGAUGCCAACACACUCUGGGCAUAAGGGAACAGAAGACCCUUAAUUCUGCAGAUGGGAGAAAUGCCCAGUGCGGUCAAGGUCCCCACGUUGGUCAGGCCAGUGCUCUGGACUGCAAACGGGUCCCGGCUGCUGCUCUCGGAAAGGUUCUGUGUCCAGAUCCGUCUUCCCGGGAUCCUGCUACCUACGAC
ensembl:lncRNA